CUACGGGGUGCAGCAGCAACGAAUAUUCCGCAAUGGACGAAAGUCUGACGGAGCGACGCCGCGUGUGGGAAUAAGCCCUUCGGGGUGUAAACCACUGUCAGGGAUCACCAAGCAAUGGGGUCUAAUAUGCCCCGGAGUUGAGGAGUCCCGAAGGAAGCCACGGCUAACUUCGUGCCAGCAGCCGCGGUAAUACGAAGGUGGGAAGCGUUGUUCGGAAUCACUGGGCUUAAAGAGCACGUAGGCGGCCUGCCAAGCGUCUUGUGAAAUCCCUCGGCUCAACCGAGGAACUGCUGGGCGAACUGGUAGGCUUGAGGUAGGUAGGGGCACACGGAACUCUUGGUGGAGCGGUGGAAUGCGUAGAUAUCAAGAGGAACGCCGGUGGCGAAGGCGGUGUGCUGGGCCUAUCCUGACGCUGAGGUGCGAAAGCCAGGGGAGCGAACGGGAUUAGAUACCCGGGUAGUC
rnacentral:rRNA from 1 species